rnacentral:tRNA from 1 species
CAGGGAGACAAACCUAAUCGUGAUGUCUGAGUAAAUUUAAUCUCAGGCCAUGAUUCUGUCACCUUAGGUCGAUCGGUACCUCAAGGAGCGGAAGGGAGAACGUGAGCAAUCAGGGGAGACUUUAUUCUGCUUUUUCAGUUUCUAAACGUUGUCUAGGUCACCCCAUAGCUCCUGGGCCAUUAGCUCAGGUGGUUAGAGCGCACCCCUGAUAAGGGUGAGGUCCCUGGUUCAAGUCCAGGAUGGCCCAUGCACCGCCUGCUAAGCAGGCAGGACUUGCUGGCUGGGGGUUUAGCUCAGUUGGUAGAGCGCCUGCUUUGCAAGCAGGAUGUCAGCGGUUCGAGUCCGCUAACCUCCAUAUCAACGGAGAAACCCACAAGCGCAAGCAAGUGAGCUGAGCGGGAGUGAACCAGACAGGGAAGGAGAGAAUGGAUCCGAGCCAUUGUGAUCCAUCAGCUGAGGAUGACUCCAGCCUUCAGGAUUAGGGCGCAAAGCAGCGCACCAGUUCAUGCCGUAUCGCAAUAAAGCGGUAUGAGUAAAGAGAUCUUGAAUGCUGGACUCACAGCAGUGAACGCGAGUUGACUGUUGAGAAGUUCAGCGAAGAACCUUGACAACUGCAUAGGUGAGUCUGGAAAGAAAGCAUCUCAUGGAUGUCCAGUGAAGGCUGGAGAUUCUAUUGAGUUUAGAGCCGAGACUUUCCAGUGUUCUUCCAAGUAGCUAGCCAAUCCAGCUAGGGAAAGGGAGUUUGAUUGUGGCAUUCAAACCACGAGCCACUCGACUGAGAAACUGCCAAAAGCAGGGAUUCAGAGAGGUGAGUGAGCAGGUGAAUCCGCGAGAAUAGGCCUCAACAGCCUGAAGCACUGGGAAGGAAAUU